GGAGAGGUGGCUGAGUGGUUGAAAGCACCGGUCUUGAAAACCGACGAGCCUUAACGGGUUCCGGGGGUUCGAAUCCCCCUCUCUCCGCCA
rnacentral:tRNA from 2 species